rnacentral:lncRNA from 1 species
CCAAAUCUCAAUACCAGUCCAAUAAUCAAUCAAUCUUAAAAUAACUAUAAUAACAAUAAAAAUAAUAAUACAAGGUAAUCCAUAGUCUAUGCAAACAAUACCUAACUAGUCAUUUCUUAAAAUACUACAAUCAUAGGCUUAAAAGUUUCAAUCAACACUCAACAAAUAAUAGUUCAAGCCGAUACAUAUGAAAUACCCCAUAAGACUAAUAGAUACAAACUCCACAUAAUAUACUGGGGGCAGCACUCAUACAUAUACCUAUGCAACGUCCCAUAAGGCUUAUAGCUAUAAGGAAUACUGGUGGGAAUAUAAGUGAUAGGCAAUGCAUAUGCAAGAAUGAAUGCCAAGAUAUAAUCCAUAGUGCCAUAAUCGAUCUGAAUGACUUAAAGUAACCCAAUGUAUAUACUCAUAUCAGCAAUAUCAUCAUCAAUCAACAAACGUGUACCUAAAUUCAUAUCAUCAGUAUCUUCAUCAAUCGCUGGACUUGAACUAAAACUUAUAUCAGUAAUAACAUCAUCAAUCGCCAGACUUGAAUAGGAAUACAUAUUGCCAUUAUUAUCAUCAAUUGUCUAUUUGUUCAAUACCAGAUAUAUAUAUAUAUAGGUAUACA